ACCGUGGACUGUAUGUACUAUAUCAUUCUAUUUCGCUUUCAAACUAGUUCUACUACAUUGUUCUACUUUGAUAGACCUAGACAGACACAUAAUUUUGGGCUCCUCUUGACCCAAGGAAAUGGAAAAAAUCAAAUUGAACCGCGUGUUAAUCGACCCUCAGUGCCAUCUAGUAUCACUUUGUAACAACUAAAACCCAACAUAAACAACAGUACUAUCUUUUGAUACUAGAUGUCACUUUAUACACAUAUGUGACUUCAACAUGCCGCCCACCAAGGACAGAAUGUCCUUAACUAUGACCCAUACAUGUCUAGUAUAAAACCUCUCGUAUAAAAACCCUCACCUCGCGUAUAAAAACCCAUGUUUAAGAACCCCUCGUAUAAUAAACCCUUUACAUAUUAAAACCACUCGUUUAACUAAACCUUAAAACUAGUAAAUCAAAUAAUAUAACAUUCGUUAACAGUUAAUUACUUAUUAACCAGUGAAAACCAAUUUUAAAACUACACAUUUUACAUUUACAAAAUACAAGUCAUCCCAUCAGUUCAGGGAUUGUCCUAGAAAAUCUUGCCAAACAACCACGUACUUGGAGACAAGUUAUCACCCUACAACAAAAUUGUAUCCCCGACUGCCGGCUCAGAACUUUUAUGAGCCUGUUAAUAAACCUUGUAUGAAAAUUGUAAAAUGUCUAUAAAAUAUCAAUUGAACUUAUUACCUACCUAAAAACCACGAACUGAACUAAAGAGUGAAGAACUGUUUUCUAACAAAGAUUGGUCUACUGUACCUAUUUGAACAUAAAACCCUUUAACUUCUUGAGUUUAGUGUAUGAUAGUUUGUUCUCUUAAAAACCCUUGAAAAACUUUCAUAGACACUACUAACAACUUAGUCAUCCAAACAGCUCCACAAAACUCAAACUGCGGUAUACCUACUCAUUUAUCACCGAAGUAACAGAGUUUUGACACUAGCAAACUAGCCCAACGGGAAUUUCCCUGAUGCAGUGAUUACGCGUAAAUAAACCCCAGCAGCGUAAGCAACGUUGAAGGCAUCUGAGAAUCCCUGCAGCCCUGCAAAGCAUCGUCUGAUCGAGUGCAUACCACCGCGGAUACUUCAGCUAAGUAGUAACUCGUUAAGUAAGGUAAGUAUUCCCAUCUUUAGAUAACUCUAGUAAGUUCUUUCUCUCACCCUAUUCCAGCUAUCCACACUGCUUGAUAACUUCUUCGCUUAAGCAGUUGCUAUCCAUCCUAAUGGACUGAAUAGAUGCGAUACAAUACAACCAAUAUAAUUUUUCUUUUUCUUACAGGCGCGGACAGCGGCGGCAAUUCACCGAGUACUGAAAUUCAUCAUUGUUCCUGUUUCAGUUUGACUCCAUUUGUGGAUGCGUCAAACACCACUUUCGCAGUUGAUCUUUCUUCCUUCAUAACAGCAUGUGGUAAACACUUCUUCGUGGUAUAGACACUUCACUCUACAUCUUCCAUCUGCACUCCGACGAGUGGUCGCAGUGAAGAUUUCUCCGCAUCGCUGUUCUUUUGAUGUUAACUUUCUUGAUGUGAAUAAAGUUUCCAUAUCCAAAACCUUAGAGCGUUUUGAAUCCAAUUCCUCUACAAACGCAUGCAACACUGUAACUCUAUUUUCAUCCGCAGCAGUAUUUAUCGGUCCAGAUAUUAUCCACCCAAGCGUGGUGCACUGUGCCACUGGCGAACCCGUAGGUCCCCGUAACAAACCAUUCCUGAAUA